rnacentral:rRNA from 1 species
UACGGAGGGGGCUAGCGUUGUUCGGAAUUACUGGGCGUAAAGCGCACGUAGGCGGCUUUGUAAGUUAGAGGUGAAAGCCCGGGGCUCAACCCCGGAAUUGCCUUUAAGACUGCAUCGCUUGAAUCCAGGAGAGGUGAGUGGAACUCCGAGUGUAGAGGUGAAAUUCGUAGAUAUUCGGAAGAACACCAGUGGCGAAGGCGGCUCACUGGCCUGGUAUUGACGCUGAGGUGCGAAAGCGUGGGGAGCAAACAGG